rnacentral:lncRNA from 1 species
AGCCAAAAUCAAAAUAUAAAAAUUAAAGGAUAAAUAAUCAGAUCUUAAAAGCAUAAAACACAUAACACAUACACAAAACAGACCAUCUUUCUCUAUCUCUCUUUACCAGUUUCCCCAAACCCAAACUCAAAAACCCUAGAUUUCACCAAGCAAAUUAGCUCUAAUUCAUGUAGAGGUCAACAAGUAAUAGCUCAAAUGAAGGUUAAAAUCACACAUGAGGCUCCAAUUUGUUCCCGGCGUUGAGAGCUCCCGUCUUUGAAAGCUCCGAAUUGCAAGCUCGAUUUUACGCGAUUGCUCAUAUAGUUUAACAACAUCUCAAUUAUAACUCAGCACUGAAUUAGGUAUGUCUGAACGUAAUUUAUAUUCAUUUGAUUUUUAAAAUCUCAAGUUUUUGUGCAUGUUUAAUUGGUCGUGUAUCAUUCCUUUUUAAUAUAAAACGUAAAUGUUAACUGAUAUCAUUCAUUCUAUUAUUCACAAAUUGUUUGUCUAAAUUCAACUCCGGUCUUUACUUUUUGUUCAUUUUUUUCUUUCCUUUUUAAUGUUAUUGUAAUACUAAACUAUUAUUAGCCAAUCGUUCAUUUGACCAUUUUACCAUUUAAAGAGCAUAAAGUAGUUAAUUUUCUUCACAAAGCUAAUGAAGGACAAUUAUUGUAGAAUCCAAUUGGCAUAUGCAAGUCACUAUUUCUGAAGCUAAAUUUCGUGUGUUUCACACAAUAGAUCGAAUAUUAUACAUGAUUCUUGUGACAGAUCUCUUAUGUAAUCCAAUAGAUGCCAUGAAAAUCAUGGCCUUUUGGUUAUGGCUUGAGCGUAUGGACUUUCUAAGUGUCAUAAGAAGAAUCAUGCUCUUGCCUAUCCACCUCAUUAGUGUGCUUGUGGAUGAGGCUAACGUAUGCCUCAAAUUCAUCAAUAACCCACAACUGCCUCUCACAAAUGAAUGCAAUGAUAUUCAUUUUACACAAAAUCUCAUACAUGGAUUCUCACUCUAGUAUUUGCAAACGAAUAAAACACUUGAGAAAUUUGGAGUGGAAAUAGUCCAAACUAAAAUUUAUUUUCUGGCUUUUAGUGAUUUAUGGAACAAACUAUUAUAAAAAGUGAAACUUGAAGGAUAGCCCAGAACCAACAACAACUCUCCAUACAACAAGGAUGUCGUAUAAUGGUUCUAGCAAUAGAGUGGUGCCUCAUGAACAACAGACUAUGUUUUCCACAUUUUCCAAAGGCUAUCUAGUGGUCAUGUGGGAAAUUCGACACUUUCUUGUGCAAAAUUUUGGAGACUGCAUUAAAUCCAUUUGCAUGAAAAAGGUGAAGGAGAUUGGAGAUCAACCGUUAUUUGCUCGAGUAGUAUUCUUUGGAGUUAACAUAAUAUACAUCGUCUAAGAUGGUUUACCCAAGACUGAAAUUUUCAUUACUAAUAAACAUAUUUGGACGAGGAAGUUUGUGCCAAGAAGUCUAAGAAAUUCAAAUGAAACAACACACGUGUGCGUACAAUGAGGUGUUAUAUUGAACUUCAUUUGAUUUUUUGGAACGUACUUCCUCAUCCAAACAUGUUUACAGUUAAUGGUAAACUUAGCCUUUGGUAAGCCAUCUAAGAUGAUGUAAAUUAUGUUAACUUCAAAGAAUACUAUUUGAGAAAAUAGCGGUUGAUCUCCAAUCUCCCUCACCUGUUCCAUGGAAAUGGAUUCAAUGCAGUCUCCAAAAUUUUGCACAAGAAAGUUUCGAAUUUCACACUUGAUCACUGGAUAGCUUUUGAAAAAUGUGGAAAACAUAGUCUUUUGUUCAUGAGGCACUACCCUAUUGCUAGAACCAUUAUAAAACAUCACUUGUUGUAUGGAGAGUUUUUGUUGGUUCUAGGAUAUCCUUCAAGUUUCACUUUUUAUAAUAGCUUGUUCCAGUAAAUCACUAAAAGCCAGCAAAUAAAUUUUAGUUUGGACUAUUUCCACUCCAAAAUUUUCAAGUGUUUGAUUUGUUUGCAAAUACUGGAGUGAGAAUCCAUGUAUGAAAUUUUUUGUAAAAUGAAUAUCAUUGUAUUCGUUUGUGAGAGGCAGUUGUGGAUUAUUGAUGAAUUUGAGGCAUACGUUAGCCUCAUCCACAAGCGCACUAACGAGGUGGAUAGGAAAGAGCAUGAUUCUUCUUAUGACAUUUAGAAAGUCCAUAAGCUCAAGCCAUAACCAAAAGGCCAUGAUUUUCAUGGCAUCAAUUGGAUUGCAUAAGAGAUUUGUCACAAGAAUCAUGUAUAAUAUUCGAUCUAUUAUGUGAAAGACACGAAAUUUUGCUUCAGAAAUAUGGACUUGCAUAUGCCAAUUGGGGAAUCCUUGUCGUCUAAAGACAUCCUGACCUCAAGGCAAUUAGGACUGUUAAAAUUUCAUGCUUCAAAGAAGAUAAAGUGGUGCUCAGACCUAUGCUAGAACAGUUCAAAUUAAAGAAGACUAAGGAGAUUAUACAUGAUACUUCAAGGGUACGUGGUCAUCCAUCCCCGAUUACCAUUACAACUGAAGGCAUGGAUCUGAAUUUGUCAUUCAGAAAGCUGAGGGAGAUGAGACACAUUACUUCCGUACAAAAAUUUAAAAGCUAGGUUUGAGAAUCCACCUCCUGUGAAUGCGUUGGAAUAGGUCGCUUUGAACACCAUCACUUCCGGAUUUGACUUGCAGAAGCGGGUGGAACUCAAGGAAGAGGGAGCAACAAAGAGAAGGGCUGAUGAAGCUGCUCUAAAUGCAAAAGCUAGGAAGGCAAGAAAGACCGACGCAGACUAGAGGAGCACUAUAUUUUAUUAUUAUUAUUAUUAUUAUUAUUAUUAUUAUUAUUAUUAAAAGUAUUAUAUCCUAUUAAAACACAUAUAUUGAUAAGUUUUUUAUAAUAUAACGAUUAUUCAUAGGAUAGAAUUACAUCUCAACAUAACUCAACGUAUUAAUUUUUAAAACCGAAACGAUUUAACUUAGGAUUUAACUCCCUUUCAGUGGAACAUCGGAAGUAUAUAAUAUCAAAAAUUUGUUAUCAUGUUUUAAAAUUUUUUAUUUGAUAAUAACUAUUAUUAUACGGCUAUAAAAAGACAUCUAUUGACUAGGAAUUUUUUUUAUUUAAUUUUAAUUAUUAUUAUACUACUAUAAAAAGACUUUUGUAUUGAUUAGAAUUUCCUAAUGUAACGAUUUUUCCACUAUUUAUAUCAUAUUUCAGAAUUCAAAUAAAUAAGGAGGAAUAUCAAAUUACUAACUUUUGAUUAUCAUUAUAUAAUUUUUUUUCAAUAAUACUUAUUAGUAUACUAUUAUGAAAAGAAUCUUACAUUGACUAAGAUUCUAUAAUAUAACAAUUAUUUUACUAACAGAAUUACAUCAUCAACAAAAUUAUUAGUCUGAUUUUAAAAACUCAAACAAUUUAAUUUACAAACAACUCUGUGUAACUAUUAUAUAAAUCUCAAAUUUUGAUGAUCAUACAUUAUGGCAAGCCACUUUAAUGUUUUAGCUUGCUUUGAUAUAUAUAUUGUUGAUAGAGCCCGUCAUAUUCUAUGUUCUAACUUAGUUUUGCAGGAAGUUAAUAUAUCAGCAUAACAGUAAGCUGUAAUGUGAUAAUAGAAAGCUGUUACAGAGAUCGAACAGAAGUUGAAUUCUACCCAGUUUUUAUCUCAAGACAUCUAUGAGGUUUAGGACUUCUUAGUUGUAAAUUCUCUGUAUAAUAUAUGUUUUUACUUAAUGCCUUAAGCUCGUUUAAAAUCUAUAAAAUGUUUUCUAAAAUAACGGGAGAAGUUGAGAAGGAUUCAAACUCUUUAUCUCUUAACAACUUCUAUCUUUCCCAUAACUAUAGGAGUUGAUUUAUAGACGUUUUUCCUUGUAUCAACACUCCUAUACUUAUGCAUCUGACUUAAUGACGCUAAGAACAACAUUCAUAUGAAUGUUAAUGGAAGAAAUCCGAUUAUAUCCGUUAUAUUAUUUCAGCAUAUAUACGAUUUCAAUUUUCAUACAGACUACGCAACUCGCACUUUGAAAAGCAAAACAAUAUCUUUAAACACGAGCUUAAGUCUUCACUACCUUCAUAUGUUAUUUAGAGAAUAUAUCUUGAGUUGUAAUCGUUAUAUUUGUAAUUGAUUAUGGUAAUUAGUUGCUGAAAUUAGCAAAUAGUUCUUAGAGUUUAGAAAGAGGAGAGUUAGGUAGUUAGUCGCAUUGUUUUCCAGGUGCAAAGGGUUCAGGAUCGAAGGAAUUCAAGAAGAGGAAGCUCAACGAAUUCAGAGGUUCAAGGGACAGAUUGCUUGGAGAAGUCAGUGGGGUGCUAAUUGCAGUCAGCAUAUAGUUAAGGGAUAACAACAAGCUAUUUCACUGAUCGGGAAGGGGAGAUAUAUUAUUAUUGUGUAAUUGCUGUUAUAUGCAGUAAAAAUAUAUUCUCUUACCAAGUUAAUAAGGGACCAAGACGUACACCAUUAGAUAUAGGGGUCGAACUUAUAAUAUAAAUAAAUGAUCUAAAUUCUUGUUACAAGCCUCUGGUCAAUUAUAGCAACCAUUUCAUGUUGGCUAUAUUUUCUUUUGUAAGAGGAGUCGUCUAUGAGAGCACACAUUUUUAUAUUUUGUUUAUAUUUUUUAUUUAUGAAUGACAUAUAUACCUUUUGCUAAA